GGAGGAAAAGAAACCAACAGGGAUUGCCUCAGUAACGGCGAGUGAAGCGGCAAGAGCUCAACUUUGGAAUCGCUCCGGCGAGUUGUAGUCUGGAGGUGGCCACCACGAGGUGUUCUAGCAGCAGGCAAGUCCUUUGGAACAAGGCGCCAGCGAGGGUGACAGCCCCGUACCUGCUUUUGCUAGUGCUUCCUGUGGCCCACCGACGAGUCGAGUUGUUUGGGAAUGCAGCUCUAAGUGGGUGGUAAAUUCCAUCUAAGGCUAAAUAUUGGCGAGAGACCGAUAGCGAACAAGUACAGUGAUGGAAAGAUGAAAAGCACUUUGAAAAGAGAGUGAAACAGUACGUGAAAUUGUUGAAAGGGAAGGGCUUGCACCCAGACACGGUUUCGGCCGGGCCAGCAUCAAGUAGAACGGGGUUAAAAGACUUGGGGAAUGUAGCUACUUCGGUAGUGUUAUAGCCCUUGGUGAUGACCCCUGUUUUGCUUGAAGGACAGCGGUCUCUAGGAUGCUGGCGCAAUGGUUGCAAGCCACCCGUCUUGAA
rnacentral:rRNA from 1 species